AUGGCGCAGGAGCACCGAGCCCUCACGGCGGCAGAAAGACAGCUGAGCAAAACCUUGAAGCUUAAAGUGCUUGGCCUUGCUGCAAUUGAUCGGGCGAGAAAGAAGCAGGCCUCCAGAGUGAAUUGGCUGCAUGUGGGGGAUGCGAGCACGCAUUUCUUCCAUGCAAAAAUGCAAUCUCGCCGCAGAAAAAAUUUCAUUCAUGCGAUCUGCAACAAUGACAGGGUUGUAGUGGAUCACGGUGAGAAGGAACAGAUCAUCCUCGACCACUUCUCUGAAGCCUUGGGGCGCAGCAAGCAGCGAGGCUGCACUCUCAAUUGGGACAGCCUGAACAUUCCGGUUGUUGCUCCGUCAGAGCUAGACGGGCCGUUCACCAUGGUCAAGGUCUGGGCGGCAAUCCUUGCGUCCCCCACAGAAAAGGCCCCGGGCCCGGACGGUUUCACUGGGCAUUUCUAUUGCUCAUGCUGGCCGAUCAUCAAGGAGGAGGUCUUGGCUGUUUUCAACAAGUUCUAUCAGAUGACUGGGAAUAUUUUUGCUGAAUUAGACUCAGCGCUCAUUGCCCUGCUGCCGAAGAAGGAUGGCACAUCUGAAAUCAGCCACUACAGGCCCAUCAGUUUGAUCCACUCCAUGGCAAAGUUAAUCUCAAAAGUACUCGCUCUCCGUGUUGGGAAACAUAGUAAUUUCAAAAAACUCCUACGCACACGCCAGAUCAUGGUGAUGCAUAGCAACGAGAGGGGAGAGUGUUGUCCACGUACCCUCGUAGACCGAAAGCGGAAGCGUUAG
rnacentral:rRNA from 1 species